rnacentral:rRNA from 1 species
AUUGAACGCUGGCGGCAGGCUUAACACAUGCAAGUCGAGCGGGGACUUCGGUCCUAGCGGCGAACGGGUGAGGAAUACUUGGGAAUCUGCCUGGUAGUGGGGGAUAGCGUUUCGAAAGGAACGCUAAUACCGCAUACGUCCUACGGGAGAAAGGGGGGGAUCUUCGGACCUCUCGCUAUCAGAUGAGCCCAAGGCGGAGUAGCUAGUUGGUGUGGUAAAGGCUCACCAAGGCGACGAUCCGUAGCUGGUCUGAGAGGAUGAUAAGCCACACUGGAGCUGAGACACGGUCCAGAGUCCUACGGGAGGCAGCAGUGGGGAAUAUUGGACAAUGGGCGAAAGCCUGAUCCAGCCAUGCCGCGUGUGUGAAGAAGGCCCUCGGGUUGUAAAGCACUUUAAGCGAGGAGGAAUGGCUCUGGGUUAAUACCCUUGAGCAGUGACGUUACUCGCAGAAUAAGCACCGGCUAACUCUGUGCCAGCCGCCGCAGUAAGAC